AUGAGAUGUUCGUCUAAUCAUCAAUUCAUUCAUCAUCCACAAUCCACACGUACAUACAAAUGCAGUCUGAUUUGCAUUCAUUAACAGCAGGUUGCACGGCACUAUCAAGACAUUUCUAUUUAUCGUCGUUUGUUUAGUAUGGAUUCUUCCUGUGACAGGUUUGAAGAUAAGUACCGUAACGUCCCCGUUCAACAAGUAGGAAACGCCAACAACGAGCCGAUUGUCAUUACAGAGGUUACAACCACCCGAACAAUCACGAUCAGUGAUGAUGCCGACUUAAAAUCGGAUCCAAAUAUUGCCAGUCUUAUUGCACAAUUUUCGGAUACUGAAUUGCAUUCUUCUGAUCCGAAUCCGACGAUGGGGGUACGUAAUGCACACUAUAUUCCUCCAGUUAACGACUAUUGUGGUGGAGAGGAUGAUACCAGUGUAUACUACAUUUCUGAGGACGAAGAGGCUAAUCAGAAAGCUAUUCGUAGCAGGUCACAUAUUAAGUCACAUAAGGGAAAAUCUUCUGUGCAGCCAAGAAAUGGAGCUUAUUCAUCUAUUCGAUCAUCGCCUCCUCCUUCGCAUUCUAAAUUCUUCUUAUCGUCAGAGGAUAUUCUGUCACCGCUUGGUUCGUUUUCGGAACUUGAGGCAACUUCAGAUGUCGCAAAAAUGAUCAAAGCAUACACAAUAAACAGCAUAUACAUCCAACGUGGCUCCAGUAUGAAGGUGAAAGUUUGUAGAAUUUUGAAAAAGAAGGGACUGCUGCCCAACUUCUUGUCAGGAAAUGGUGACGUAACGAAGUCGGAACAUAGAAAAAGGAAAACCAACGCUCAGAACAAUGUGUUGGCAAUGCUUUUAUGGUUCAAAACGACGCCUGAUUCGGUCAGGCGUUUGGCUGCCGGAGAAGAUUCGUGCACCGCAUUUUAUGAUAGAGCAUCCCGUGCCCUCCCCUCUGCUGCGGACAAAAUGCACGACAACUGGAGACAAACAGUACUGUUAUGCAAGGUGACACUCGGAAAUAUGUUAAAAUCUGAACAUGGAUAUUCUCACUGGCGCAAAUGUCAUCGCCCUCCAAAGGGCUGUGAUUCUGUAAAAGGGGUCGGAAAAUAUACUCCAAAUUGGAAAAAGAAUCUAUCCCAUAAGUCGACCAUUGUUCCAGUUGGGGAGACGGAAAAGUCAACUCGCUUCCCUUCCUUCGAAAUCGACUACAAUGAAUACAUGGUUUUCCAGUCGCAUCAAAUCAAACAUGUGCAGCCAGUUACGUUACUUGUAAUGUUUCUUCAUUACUUAUAAUAAAUACUCGUUUCUAUUAGCAACCAGCACAAUAGAAACAUGUAAGCUCUGCACUUACAUAUGCAAAUAUCUAAACAUGUAAAUAUGUAUGUACAUGUAUGCACUUUUAGAAAUCCAGUAUUAAAAUAGUACCAAGUGGUAUUCAGAAAUGACUACAAAAAUGGUAUUCAUAACUAAUGCUCUGACGUAAUCAUGUUUCGUUUUCUCCCAUGUGAGUAAAAUUUCACGGUGAAAAUGCAAAUUCUCUUUCACGUUUUCCAUCAUAACUUUGUUUAAUUAAACUGAGCAUUAUGAAAAAUCCUGAAACACGUGUUUAAUCAUUUAUCUAAGAAUACAUGAUUAUCAUUUUUUCGUCAAAAUCGGAGCUAGACCGCUGGCGUCAUAUUGCAAGUAAUAGGUACCACUGAGAAUUCAAUUAUACCAGAUUUCUAAGUGUGUGCAUAUACAUACACAUGUAUGAUGUUGAUGCAUUUCUUGUCCACGUCCACGGGUGACAGGGGAAUUUAAUUUGGUGUUCCACGCAUCCACACCCACUGGAGAAUUAAUUGCAUAUGCACCGCAUCCAGACUAAUGAGGAUUUAAUUUGGUAUCUAUUAUUGAUGACAACUUAACGAGACUUAAAAACAAAAAAUAAACUAAUUCUUAAAAAAAACUUAGAAUUAGUUUAUAGAGCUUUGAGAGGACCUAUUAUAUUAAGCAUGUAUUACUCAUCAUCCCUCUUAUGGAUAUUCAUGAAGCUUUGCCAUGGCCAAACUCUAAGCAUUUCAUGAUGUGUAUUAAUAUAUAAUAGUGUGGUUGAAUAUUAAAUAAUAUGUAUAUGAAA